CUAGUCACUUGAUCGCUAUCACAAUAGUUACCAGCACAAAAAAUACUAAAUGAAUCCCACUUUUAAACCACCUCAUGUAUAAUAAACCUUCCUCACGGGUGGUACCCGCAUACCCGCAGCUUUUUUGCAAUUCUGGUGAUGUUAGGCAAGAAUUAGGCCAAGUAAGUUCGUUAGCGUCCCCGCCCGACCAGUGAAAAAGAUUCCGACCUAAUUUUUUUAAAAUUUUAUAUAAAUACCUUAGAAAUCUUCUAUUCCGAAAGAAUUUGUCCACUUUUAUAUAAACAAACCAACAUUCACAGCCGGUGUAACAUUUGUCAGCAGUUGCCCAGCGCUAGCCCACUAUUGGUUGCUAGAAAUCCUCGAUAUAUUAAAUAUGCUCAUAUUUUAUAUCCCUGGAAACAAGGUUGAUUAUAUAUAGGUGCACAAAUAAAAAAACCCUAAAGAACCCUCCCACCCGCCCGCAGUAAUUGGCUAUUCGCUGUUGCGGUCACCCAGCCGUGGUCAUGUACCUACUGUAUUUCAUUAUGUACGUUUGUUUUUGUCCUGUCAUGUAAUGUACUGUUUCAUCGGCAAAGUUUAUAAAUUAAAAAAAAAAAAAAAAAAAAUUACCACUACCCUAAAAUUAGGGAAAAAAGGACGCUAACCAAGUUAUUUUUUUACUUGGCCUUAAGUCGGAUUAUAUUUUAAACUUAACGCCGCACAUACUUUGAAAAAUUCAGCUUAGCGACACGACUUUUAGCCGAUUUGCACUGUUGGAUAUUUCAGUAGAGAAAUAGCUGGCUAAUAAGACUUGAGUUUUUAUUCCUUCCCGUUUACAGCAAUACCAAAAGUUAUUUUUCUGAAUUAUUACGACGCAGUGAAGCAUGGCCUUUUUUAACUAUAUAACUGGGGGCCCCCAAAGACCCCCCAGCCACCAUGGUGAUCUCCCCCGUUUAACCAUUUUGCUUCCCCCAGUCAAAGUCCCUUUUCUCUGAAAUAUAAGCAAAACAUUGGAAGAAAAAGGACUUUAGAAGGGAGGUUUGAUAUUCU